rnacentral:rRNA from 1 species
UGAUUCCACCUGGGGAGCGGCUUACGCAGUAUCAGCUUGUUGGCGAGGUAACGGCUCACCAAGGCUAUAGACGCUUAGGGGGUGUGAGAGCAUGGCCCCCACCACUGGCACUGAGACACUGGCCAGGACACCUACGGUUGGCUGCAGUCGAGAAUCUUCGGCAAUGGACGAAAGUCUGACCGAGCGACGCCGGUGCGGGAUGAAAGGUCUUCGGAUUGUAAACCGUGUCAGAGGGGAUUGAAGUGUAACCAGAGUUAAUCUCUUGUAUUUGACAGAGCCUCCAGAGGAAGCACCGGGCUAAAG